rnacentral:rRNA from 1 species
AGUGGACGCUGGCGGUAGGCCUAACACAUGCAAGUCGAACGGCAGCACAGUAAGAGCUUGCUCUUACGGGUGGCGAGUGGCGGACGGGUGAGGAAUACAUCGGAAUCUACUUUUUCGUGGGGAUAACGUAGGGAAACUUACGCUAAUACCGCAUACGACCUACGGGUGAAAGCAGGGGAUCUUCGGACCUUGCGCGAUUGAAUGAGCCGAUGUCGGAUUAGCUAGUUGGCGGGGUAAAGGCCCACCAAGGCGACGAUCCGUAGCUGGUCUGAGAGGAUGAUCAGCCACACUGGAACUGAGACACGGUCCAGACUCCUACGGGAGGCAGCAGUGGGGAAUAUUGGACAAUGGGCGCAAGCCUGAUCCAGCCAUACCGCGUGGGUGAAGAAGGCCUUCGGGCUGUAAAGCCCUUUUGUUGGGAAAGAAAAGCAGCAGGUUAAUACCCCGCUGUUCUGACGGUACCCAAAGAAUAAGCACCGGCUAACUUCGUG